rnacentral:rRNA from 1 species
UACGUAGGGCGCAAGCGUUGUCCGGAAUUAUUGGGCGUAAAGAGCUCGUAGGCGGCCUGUUGCGUCCGCUGUGAAAUCCCGGGGCUCAACCCCGGGCCUGCAGUGGAUACGGGCUGGCUAGAGGCAGGCAGGGGAGAACGGAAUUCCUGGUGUAGCGGUGAAAUGCGUAGAUAUCAGGAGGAACACCUGUGGCGAAAGCGGCUCACUGGACCAUAACUGACGCUGAUGCACGAAAGCUAGGGGAGCAAACAGG